CACCCUAUAACUCAGUUGGUAGAGUAACGGGCUUUUAACCCGUGAGUCGCAGGUUCAAGUCCUGCUGGGGUGA
rnacentral:tRNA from 1 species